UGCAAAGCACAUGUGGCUAUCUGGGCAGGUGGGGCAGAUCUGGGGCUUGAGGGGGAAAGCCUGGAGUUGCUGAAGCAAGCUGUGAAGCAGGGGAUGAUGAAAGUGCUCAGAAAGCCUCCCUGAGGCAUUGGUGGAAGAACUCUGGGGCAUUUGGGACCUUGUAGGAGCCAGGCUUUUGGCUGAGGGAGUUUGCGUGUAGCGGUGGGUGCCUCUGCUCUCAGCCCUGCUGUUGCCAUUACCUUUGCUUGCUCCUCCUGGCUGCUCUUUUUCCCUGGAGCCAGGGGGAUAAGCUGCCAUCCAGCUGCUCCAUCUCCUACCAGCCCUAUGAGCCUGUCUUUCCACAGGCGUGGAGUUUUCUGCUGGACAUGGAGUGUCCCCAUGGGCUGGGCACAGCGUGUGGCAGGGCUGCAGGUGUAGCUGUGGCUGCCAGGCCAGGCUUUCCAAGCGGAGAAGAGAUUUGAACUUGGCACAAAGUCAGAAGAUUCGCGAAGAGAGGAGCGCGUGUCUGGGGAGGGAAUGUUGCUUCCUUCCCUUUGCUUUUUUUUGGUUCAAUAAAUCUUAGCCCGUUUCUGA